rnacentral:rRNA from 1 species
AACGAACGCUGGCGGCAUGCCUAACACAUGCAAGUCGAACGAGACCGUCGGGUCGAGUGUCGAACGGGUGCGUAACGCGGGGUAACCUGCCCUUAAGUUCGGAAUAACUCCCGGAAAGGGGUGCUAAUACCGGAUAAUUUCUUCGGACCAAAGAUUUAUCGCCUUUGGAUGGGCGCGCGUUGGAUGAGCGAGGUGGUAGGGUAAAAGCCUACCAAGGCGACGAUCCAUAGCUGGUCUGAGAGGAUGAUCAGCCACACUGGGACUGAGACACGGCCCAGACUCCUACGGGAGGCAGCAGUAGGGAAUAUUGGACACUGGGCGAAAGCCUGAUCCAGCCAUGCCGCGUGAGUGAUGAAGGCCUUAGGGUUGUAAAGCUCUUUUACCCGGGAUGAUAAUGACAGUACCGGGAGAAUAAGCUCCGGCUAACUCCGUG